UGUUAAAUAAGAUCUUUCUACAUGACAGAGUUUAGACAGAGUGAAGGGAGUGAAGAGGUGGAAGCAGUUCUUCUGUCAUUCAAUAUUUUUCUUGAUUAGCAUCAAAUUCAUAAUGAAUAUCCAUCAUGUUCUGGUCUUCUGCUUCUUAUCAGGGUUGGAUCUUAACAAGGCUCCAAGCAGAGCUUCAACAUGCAACAUGAAGAAAUGGGAGUGAGACAAAACAUUAUUUUGAGCAUGCAAUUUAUUGAAAACAACACUUAAACUGAAACAGGCUGUUUUACAGCUGAUCAAAAGUUUAGGACCACACCUCCAAAAAUCCUGUAAACCACCCAAAACAGGAAUAAAAGUUCCAAACAUGAACUGAGUAAUGAGGAGCUCCACCGUUAUUGUUGAUCACUUCAAAAAUUCAUAGCGGUGUGCUUGAUGCAAUCAUUUCCAUGAGGUGAGUGGGAACAUUUCUCCAAGUGGUGAAGACAGUCACACGAAGGGCGUCUACUGUCUGGAACUGUUGUCCAUUUUUGCCAUCCAUCCUCAAAAGUUCUCAAUUGGAUUUAGAUCAGGG
ensembl:lncRNA